ACUGCAGACCCCAGCACCCAGGACCGAUGACAGCAGAGAUGCAGGCGCUUGUUCAAUAGCCUCCGUACUGGUCUCCACUGCUUGUCCUGCAGACCUGCGCUUUACCAGCUACAGGAAAUCCGUAGUACUCCUCCCCCGGCCAAAACAAAUUUGAUGAGAGGUGUGCUUUAUUAUUGUUAAUGAAACUGCUUCCAUAAAAGUUCUUCAACAAAAAUAUCUCUCUUGCAUGAUAAAGCACUGACAAGCCAAGGAAAAGGUUCUCCUGUUAAGCUGUUUUAUCUCUCUGUUUCACAGCUGAGAUAGUAAUGCCCACAUUUUGGUCUCUAAGUAUGCCAAUUUUCCUGAGAUUAAAAUGUCUAUUGUCAACUG